rnacentral:rRNA from 1 species
CGAACCGUGCGAACGUUAUUCGGAAUCACUGGCUUAAAGCGCGUGUAGGCGGGACGGCACGUCGGUCGCUGAAAGCCCCCGGCUCAACCGGGGAACGGGCGCCGAUACGACCGGCCUGGAGGGACGUAGGGGGACCUGGAACUUCCGGUGGAGCGGUGAAAUGCGUUGAGAUCGGAAGGAACGCCCGUGGCGAAGGCGGCUUUUUGGUCUGUAACUGACGCUGAGGCGCGAAAGCGUGGGGAGCAAACAGG